GUGCUCAUUUCAGCAGCACAUAUACUAAAAUUAGGCUGAUACAGAGAAGAUUAGCAUGGACCCUGCUCAAGGAUGAAAGGCAAAUUCGUGAAGAGUUCCAUAUAUUU